ACCACAUGACACACCUCGGGCAGGGUUCCUGGAGCCCCAGUUCCCUGGUCUGCAGCUCUUCCUGCUUGAGUGACCCUGCACUGCAGAUGGCAUGGGCCUGGGCCCCUGGUCACAGUGACCCUCCAAGACGAAGAUCUGUGUGGCCCUGUGCUAGCCGAGGACUAUUUCUGGUCCUGCUGUCCACGUGUCCAAGCUCUGAGUGCCACAAGGCUAGAGAGCAGGUGGAAAGCUGGGGACAGCCACAUGUCAGCCUCUGAAUUGGAGGACGUCCUCGGAAUUGGCCCAGCUCCACAGGAUGCCAUAUCCAGUAAGCCCUGGAGACCUCGUGUCACCUACAGACUGGCCUUCUUGCCCAGGGAGAGGCCAUCUCCUCCCAUCUAUAUUUUGUGCUUCUGCAAGGAUGUGAGUGGACAGUGGAAAUUGGGCUGAAUGGCCUGCAUUUACUCUGGCAGGUGAGCAGGCCAUGGGAACUGCACACAUCCCACGCAUUCACUGUGGUGAAUGGAUAAACUGCACCCAGCUGUGGGGGAUUCUGGGAAUGAUUGACAUGCAGCAACAAAGACCCACCCUGGAUGUGGGUGGCACCACCCAAUAGUCGCAUUGCCUGGGCAGGGUAAACAAGUCAGCCGGGAGGAAGUCUGUUCUGUGCUUCUUCUCAAAGGCGACAUCUUGCCCAGGUGUUUGGCUGUGCGUUUCCAGCUCCCUUGGCCACCAGUGCAGGACCUUCGGGUUUCCAGUGAGGACUCGCACAGAUUCUGCCGUGAGCGUCAGGCCUCCAACCUGAAGGGUACCGACGGCUCGCCCAUCUUGUCAUCUGAGCUGUACCCAGCUCUAAGCUAGAGGACCCUCUUGAUUUUGAGGAUUAACACUCUGCAUUUCUGCAAGCUUUUAAAAUUUUGGCCUAAUCCCUUUAUGUCUCGUACGGAUGCAUCCUGAAAAUCCCUCUCCCCAACAGGUGUCCAUGAGCUUGGAACUUAAUUCUAUGCGAAGUGUGGGUUUAGGAGGCUUCUAGGCUCCUGCCUGCUGAUGAAACCUGGAGAGGGAAGCUGAUGGGAAGGAGGUCCCCUUCCUGAGGCCACACUUAUGCCCUGCAGUGUGCCCUGACUCCUGCCACCCUGACGUUGGGACCACUUCCCCCACCUGACACAUGUGAAGGCAGCCUCCUCCGUGUCCACCCGCUGAACUGCUGUGUGGUCCCAGAUACAGGAACCGUAUUUUAGAGCUGAAGAGCAGCUGCAGAGAUUAAGGUGCCAUCGGGGAACAAGACUACAGGAUAUUUGUCUGAGUCCAUGCAGUUUUUUGGUAUUUUCCUACCUGCCACCUUUCCUGUUAUCCCUGUGAAUUUCAGAAGGAAAAGAACACCAGAAGGAGACCACUGCUAAGAAGCAGACAGUGCAGAGGAACUCGAGAAGUGCUCAAUGAAGCAGCCAUGCGAUUUCCAAGCAUCCAAGAAAGGCAAAGUUUAUUUUGCAUACAGGCAUCACCUCCACCUCCACCUGCAAGUAGCCAGCACAGCACAAACCCCUCGGUUGGAAUUGCAGAUGUAGUAGAUUUUCUUCAAGCAACUGGACAUAAACAAUAUGUGACACACACACACACACACACACACAUACACACACACACACACCACGCAAAUACAGAAUCAUGUUCAACUGCUCUGCCGAAGAGAGCUGGGGAUGAGGAGGUUGCCUCCCACAGGGACAGCACGUUACAGUUUACAGUCCACAGCACAGCCAGCACUCUCAACCCCUUUUUGCAAAUGACAAAGCUGAGGCUCAGAGUGGUAUAGACACUUGC